rnacentral:rRNA from 1 species
UACGUAGGGAGCAAGCGUUUGUCCGGAAUCAUUGGGCGUAAAGCGCGCGUAGGCGGCCCUGUAAGUCCGUUGUGAAAGUCAAAGGCUCAACCUUUGAAAGCCGAUGGAUACUGCAGGGCUAGAGUCCGGAAGAGGCGAGUGGAAUUCCAGGUGUAGCGGUGAAAGUGACGUGAGAUAUCUGGAGGAACACCAGUGGCGAAGGCGGCUUCCUGGCCUGUAACUGACGCUGAGAGCGAAAGCGU